CCCAGACAGCCAGGAUGUUGGCUUAGAAGCAGCCAUCAUUUAAAGAAAGCGUAAUAGCUCACUGGUCGAGUCGGCCUGCGCGGAAGAUGUAACGGGGCUAAACCAUGCACCGAAGCUGCGGCAGCGACGCUGAUGCGUUGUUGGGUAGGGGAGCGUUCUGUAAGCCUGCGAAGGUGGCCUGUGAGGGUUGCUGGAGGUAUCAGAAGUGCGAAUGCUGACAUAAGUAACGAUAAAGCGGGUGAAAAGCCCGCUCGCCGGAAGACCAAGGGUUCCUGUCCAACGUUAAUCGGGGCAGG
rnacentral:rRNA from 5 species